rnacentral:ncRNA from 1 species
AUCACGCUUGAGGUGCUCCAUCGGUGCCGUGCAUCGCACCGGGAGAAAAGGGAAUGCGGAACGGCGCCGACAGAACGCCCGAGCCGCAGCUGCCCCCGCAACUGUGAGCGCUGAGGUUCCCCGAUUGCCACUGGGCCGCAGGCCUGGGAAGGCGGGGAAACCGUUGAAGCGUCAGCCAGGAAACCUGCCUCGAGCCGUCACCUUCC